UGGGUUAUAGGGUAAUUGGCAACCCAGUGCUUUUUGGUAGCAUUAAUUGGGAGUUCGAAUCUUCCUAACCCAG
rnacentral:tRNA from 1 species